GCAAAGACGACUUAAGUUUUUAAGAGCAAAUAAAACUCUCCUUAUUUUUUUUUUCUCCAUUAUGUAAAUUUUGAAAUAAGCAUAUGAUCCCCUUUUCUUAUUUAACUUUUUCUCUAUAUUAAAUUACACCUUUUUUUUUUUUAGAAUAUAAUCUGCCAUCAUAAAUUAAACAUGUUAACUUUAUAAAUUAAGUAUGUUCAUUUAUUUUUUGAUGGCAGAUUAUAUUCAAAAAGAAUGUGUAAUUUAAAAUGAAGAGAAAAACUAGAUUAUUCGGUAAUUUAUGUAUUAAAUUUUGGACAUAUUCAACGGUAAAAAUACUUCUUUCAGGACAUGAACAAAUCAAGCAAAAAAUCUUGUGAAAUACAUUUUUUCUUCCUUUCAAGACAUGUUUGGUAUUUCUAUUUUCUUUUAUUUGGAGUUUGUGCAUUAAAAGAACUCAUAAUAAUUUUAUUAUUUAAUUUUCCCUUAAAAAGUUUUCAAUAAAAUGCCAAUUAUAAAACUAGAAUCCAUUAUCCAUGCUCAUGCAGUCUCUUAUGUAUUAAUCAAACAUUAUUUUUUUUUUGAAGCAAUCAAACCAAAAAGAAAAGAACAUUAAAUUGUUUAAAAAGAAAAAACAUUAUUUUUUAAUAUGUAAAGAAUAAAAGAAAAGAGUAAAUCAAUUUUAAGCAUACGCUCCAAAGUGAAGAGUGGGCCAAAGGCAAGCCAUAAUUUGUAUAAGUGGCAGGAUGAGGUGACGACCAAUUCCAACAACUAUGAGAGAUCUCGGCCACGUCACUGUCUCUCUAAAAUCCGUUUGAAUCGCUCAUCAGUUUUUUUUUUUUAUAUACUGUUGGUGAAGUGCGAGUGAGGAAAUGGGUCCAGCAAGUGAGAACUAGACACGUGUUUCAGUGUUUACCGGUACGCGUCCAUCUUUAAGGAAGCCGCGUCCUAUCAUCAUUGUUGUUUCGGUGCUAUUACCUAAUUACGUUUAUACCCUUCUCUCUUCUUCAUUUUUCCUUUAUCUUUAAGAUUUUGCCUCGGAUUUGCUCCCCGAGUGUGUGUCUGCCGCUGGUCUCUAUCAUUCUUCUCUAUCCCCCGUUCUUUUAGGCGCGUCUACAACUUUCAAUCCUAUUUUGUUCUUUGCACGUGGUAGAUUGUGGUGUACGAACCAAAUUUGGCGCGUUGGUACUGUUCACGCUAUUUGUGUAGACGUAAUCCAGCGGACGAUUUCGAUAGCCAACCACAUGUUAUUUAUAUGACAAUAAGAGUAGUCUUAUUAAAUAUUGAAGUGUGUAUAUUUAAUAAUCAAAAUUAUUGUUGUAAAUUCGUGUCGUGCUGCCCAGUCAAUAUUUAUAUGUGCUCACCAAAAUACGGACAAGUGUUAUGCCAUAAAAAAUAAAAAAUAUAAAUCGUGCUAUAUUAAAAAUUUUAUUAUCCACCCCAAUAGCAUCCGGAGAGUGGCUAGGAUUUGAGUUCUGGGGCGGGUACUGGUGUCCUGCUGAGAAUUAUGACCACUUUAAGUUGAAAUUACCGGAGGCUUGAGAACUUACGGAAUUUACAAUUCCUUAAGGAUUUGGUAAUUCAAAAGAGAUCCAAAAUUAUUCUUUUAUGUGAAACUCUUUGUGGUAAAGAUGUGGUGGAGCGGGCCAGAUUAUAUAUGGACUUUGAUAGUGCUAUUACUGUAAAAGCCCAAGGUCAUAGUGAGGGAAUUGCAUUAUUGUGGAGAAAUAAAGAGGAAGUGCAACUUAUAGACUUUUUGAACAAACAUAUCAAUGUUAAAGUGUGUGUUGACGGGCAACCCAUUUGGAGACUGGUGGGAAUGUAUGGUGCACCUAAUAGGAGUCUAAGGCACAACACAUGGAGGCUCAUCAAGCAUCAAGCUGAAGACACUCAUUGGCCGUGGGCAAUUAUUAGAGACAUAAACAAUGUUACAAGCUAAGAAGACAAACAUGGUGGAAGACCUUACCCAUCUAGCUUAAUCCAAGGCUUCAACCAGGUGCUUUUUGAGUGUGAGUUGACUGAAAAGGAGUUGGUUAGACACCCUUUUACCUGGGAAAAAUGUCGUGGUACACCUAGAUGGGUGGAAGUUAGGCUUGACAGGGCCCUAGUUUCGAAACAUUAGCUGGAAAUUUUUAAUUCUUCGAAGCUUUAUAAUCUAAAUUUCUCUUCCUCGGAUCAUUGCCCUAUUUACCUUGAGCCGACUAUUGUAAAGAAUGUGAUUGGUCCGAAAAAAAAUUCAAAUUUGAGAAUGCUUGGUUACGAGAGUCAUUAUGCUUUCAAGUGGUCAAAGAUGUUUGGGAGAGAGAGAUGUGGCUGGAUGUCCAAAAUAAAAUCAAGAUGUGUGGUGAUGCUUUGAGUAGUUGGGGCAACAUUACACUAGUGAUUUUAAUUCAAGAAUUAAAGAGGCCAAACUGACUUUGAAGCAGCUCAAAGGAAGACGUGAUGACUAUUCAAUUAAAAAUAUGGAGAGGAUCAGAAAGAUUUGUUUGAAAUCCUUACCAACGAGAGAUGUUUUGGAAGCAACAUUCAAAGCAACUCUAGCUUAAAGAGGGUGACCAAAACAGGCCGGCCCUGAUUCUAAGUCCUAGAAUUUGGAAGGGGUUUGAAAGGGAAAAGUUGAAUUAUGGUGAACGCAAGGUAACAUUUGGUGGUUGCUUCUUCUUUUCUCAUGGUUGCGAUGGUUUGGGCAAAAGAAUGUGAUGGGUAAGUUUUAUAAUACUACUUUCAAAACUUUUUGAAAUUUUUUUAUGAGUUUGAGGUUUGAUUGUAUAUAUUGAUUAUUUGUCGCAUUUUAUUAUUUCUGUAUUUAAUCUUAUUUUAUUUUUUAGUAUAAUUGACACAAAGUAUGUUUUACUUCUAUUAUCAGGGCCGGCCUUGAAAUUUAGUGGGUCAUAGAGAAAAAAAAUAUUUUUGGGCCCUCAUUUAAAAAAAAUGUGGUAUUUUUCAAAAUUUAUAAAAAAAAAAUGUGUAAUUUUAAAAGAGGAUAAAUUUUUUUUGGGCCCCUGAGCUAGGUGGGCCCUAGGCAUAAGCCUAGCCCGCCUAUACUCAGGGCCGGCCCUGACUUCUAUAUUGAUGUAAUUAUUUUAGUUUAUUUAAUCAUUUACAUAUUUUUUUUUGAGAGGUACAUGCUAUCCAUUAAUAAUAACUAAGCAAGAUAUAUGAAUACAAAGUAUUCUCAUCAAUGUAUAUAGAUACUGUUAUUUUACUUUAUUUUCAAGUUUUCAAACUGGUUAAUAUAUAAAUUAUUGUUUGAUUGUAUUCUUGUUUGAAUUUAAAGAAAAACACAUCCUAUCAUAUAUAAUUCAAGCACAUAUAAAUUGUUUGUCUUAAUACACUUCCUUUGCAUAUCUUAUAAAAACUUGUCAUGGUGAUUUGGUCUGGUAAUGACUUUGAUUUUGGAGGACAAAAGAUGAGUUAUGGUGAGCUCUGAUUUUGUAACACUUGUCUUUGUAAAUUGCAAUAAAGCUGAAAAAGAGAAAUUAAAAAUUCAUUAAUUUAAAUAAUGUAUUUUCUUUGCAGGCUUGCCAGGGUUCACACACAUGCAGUGUUUACAAAAGAGACCAUGCUUUAGUAACACAUAAAAGUUAAGUUUUCAGCCCUUUACUAGAGUGGUAUGUUUAGCUCCAUUUUGUUGUUAGAUUACAGAAAUAUUAUUUGCCUCUUUUGGUCCAAUGAUAAUAAUAAUCAGCAAUGUUUCCUCAGGGUAAAUACAUUAGCAGCCUACCUUAUUACACCAGCCAUUGGCAUUUCGUACCUUGCAAAGAUGCAAAGGAUAAUCCAUACUAGUAUUUUCUUUUUGCAAGUUGCAAAAUGUUGAAGUACAUAAAUGUUUUUUUUUUUUUUGGUAUUAAAAUCAUUAUCCCUAUGUAAUGUAUACAGUGGCGGAUCCAGGAUUUAAGUUGAGGGGGUUGAUAUUUUUUUUUUUUUUUUGUAAAUGAGGGGAGCGUCUUUUUUUUUUUUUUUUUCUUUCUAUAUUGUAUAACAUGUUAAAAAUUGAUGCAAAUUUGUAUUUUAGUAUUAAAUAUAGUAUAAAGUUGAAAAAAAUAAUAAAAAAAAUAUUAAGUUCAAUAAUUAAGACACUAAAUACAAGUCUUAUUGGUAGAGGUUCAAAAAAAGUAAAAUGUAAAUAACUUUUAUCUCAAGAAAAAAAAAUGUAAAUGAUAAGUAAAUAUGCUUUUAUUGGAAUUAGAACUCAUAAUCUCUGUGACAUUUAAGAAAUAAUUUUACCAUUAUAUCAAAGUUUGUUUUAUGUUUAUAAAUAUUAUUUUUAUUUAUAAAUAUAUAUUGUAAUUAAUUAAAAUAUAUAUACAAAAAAUUUUUAGGAAAGUGAUUGUCUCACCUUGCUUCUAUGUGAGUCUGCACCUGAAUCUAUAUAUACUAUUCUAAUAUAUAUUAAUUAUGUUCCUGAACAUUUUUAUGUAAUUACAAAAAAAAAAGUUGAAUAAUAAAAUUAUCAAAUUUG